AAUAUUGCACAAUGGGGGAAACCCUGAUGCAGCGACGCCGCGUGAGUGAUGAAGUAUUUCGGUAUGUAAAGCUCUAUCAGCAGGGAAGAAAAUGACGGUACCUGACUAAGAAGCCCCGGCUAACUACGUGCCAGCAGCCGCGGUAAUACGUAGGGGGCAAGCGUUAUCCGGAUUUACUGGGUGUAAAGGGAGCGUAGACGGAUAGGCAAGUCUGGAGUGAAAGCCCGGGGCCCAACCCCGGGACUGCUUUGGAAACUGUUUAUCUAGAGUGCUGGAGAGGUAAGUGGAAUUCCUAGUGUAGCGGUGAAAUGCGUAGAUAUUAGGAGGAACACCAGUGGCGAAGGCGGCUUACUGGACAGUAACUGACGUUGAGGCUCGAAAGCGUGGGGAGCAAACAG
rnacentral:rRNA from 1 species